rnacentral:lncRNA from 1 species
CGAAGGCAUCAGCCCCAAGGACAUGGCCACGCAGCUGUUCUUCAUGCGCCUGCUGGCCAACCACGCCUCCCAGAACCUCACGUACCACUGCAAGAACAGCGUGGCCUACAUGGACGCCGAGAGCGGCUCGCUGAAGAAGGCCGUCAUCCUGCAGGGCUCCAACGACGUGGAGCUCACGGCCGAGGGCAACAGCAGGUUCACCUUCUCCGUGCUGGAAGAUGGCUGCUCCAGAAAGACCAACGAGUGGGGAAAGACCAUCAUCGAAUACAAGACCAACAAGCCGUCGCGCUUGCCCUUCCUGGACAUCGCGCCUUUGGACAUUGGGGGAGCCGACCAAGAAUUCUAUCUGGACGUUGGCCCAGUCUGUUUCAAAUGAACCGUCUCCAGAAAUGGCAGAAAGCAAAAGGAAACACAAGGCCCCCCACGUUCUCUCUCCGCCCCUUCCUCUUCCUCCUUCUUGUCCUGAAUCUGAUUCCUUCUGUCCUGCUCGUCUCCCGCUUCCACUCUGGGCACAAGAGAAGGGUCAGGACUAUUGGAGCACCGUGCAAUGCAGUCGAACCCAGGCCCCCCGCCCCAGCCUCCUCCACAUCCCGACACCCGCUGCUGGGAGAGGCGACCUCUGUAAAGAACGGGACCGACGGGGAAAUAAACAAUAAAAAGCAAACCCUUUGCACCACUUGUGGCUUCUGACUCUCUUCCACGAGGGACGCUGGAAGCGCGGCUUCCCAAGGUGUAACCUACCUCAAGCGCCUCCGCUGCGAUGGCGGCCGGCGGUGCUGGGCAGAGGGCUCUCGGCCCCAAGGUGCUAGUUAGACGUGCGUGCGGACGUGCGUAGAGCGCGCUCACAGUACUUGAAGAGUGUCAGUGGUGCUACACACCGACCCUGGAAGCCGCUCUCUGCACUGUUGCUCUGGCCUGCUGGGGGGCCUUUCCAGCCCCCCCCCCAAGCAGGCAGCUCUGGCUCAUCUCUGCCCUCCCAUCUGCCCUUCCCCGCUCCCUCUCCUCCUCCUCCUCCUGCCUGGGUCCAGAGAAGCCUCGUUCUCAAGCAAACCAAGAACACAAACGGUGCCCGAAGACCCCAUGUGAAAUGUGAAACGCAAAUGUGACCGAACGAAAUGUAUCAAGUUC